rnacentral:rRNA from 1 species
GAUGAACGCUAGCUACAGGCUUAACACAUGCAAGUCGCGGGGCAGCAUGGGGGUUGCUUGCAACUCCCGAUGGCGACCGGCGCACGGGUGAGUAACGCGUAUCCAACCUGCCCUUCACCACGGGAUAACCCGGCGAAAGUCGGACUAAUACCGUAUGUUGUCCAUUGACGGCAUCCGAUUUGGACGAAAGGCUUUGCGGUGAAGGAUGGGGAUGCGUCCGAUUAGCCAGACGGCGGGGUAACGGCCCACCGUGGCUACGAUCGGUAGGGGUUCUGGGAGGAAGGUCCCCCACACUGGAACUGAGACACGGUCCAGACUCCUACGGGAGGCAGCAGUGAGGAAUAUUGGUCAAUGGGCGUAAGCCUGAACCAGCCAAGUAGCGUGCAGGAGGACGGCCCUAUGGGUUGUAAACUGCUUUUAUGCGGGGAUAAAGUGGCCCACGGGUGGGCUUUUGCAGGUACCGCAUGAAUAAGGACCGGCUAAUUCCGUG